GAUCAUGGCUCAGGAUGAACGCUGGCGGCGUGCUUAACACAUGCAAGUCGAACGAAGAUGCCGGAGUGCUUGCACUUUGGCAGACUGAGUGGCGGACGGGUGAGUAACGCGUGGGUAACCUGCCUUAUACAGGGGGAUAACAGUUGGAAACGACUGCUAAUACCGCAUAAGCGCACGGUAUCGCAUGAUACAGUGUGAAAAACUCCGGUGGUAUAAGAUGGACCCGCGUCUGAUUAGCUAGUUGGUGAGGUAACGGCCCACCAAGGCGACGAUCAGUAGCCGGCCUGAGAGGGUGAACGGCCACAUUGGGACUGAGACACGGCCCAAACUCCUACGGGAGGCAGCAGUGGGGAAUAUUGCACAAUGGGCGCAAGCCUGAUGCAGCAACGCCGCGUGGAGGAAGACGGUUUUCGGAUUGUAAACUCCUGUUCUUAGUGAAGAAUAAUGACGGUAGCUAAGGAGCAAGCCACGGCUAACUACGUG
rnacentral:rRNA from 1 species